rnacentral:rRNA from 1 species
GAUGAACGCUGGCGGCAUGCCUAAUACAUGCAAGUCGAACGAGAGGAAGGAAAGCUUGCUUUCCUGAAUCUAGUGGCGAACGGGUGAGUAACACGUAGGUAACCUGCCCAUGUGCCCGGGAUAACUUCUGGAAACGGAUGCUAAAACCGGAUAGGUAGCAGACAAGCAUUUGACUGCUAUUAAAGUGGCCUUGGCCAUGAACAUGGAUGGACCUGCGGUGCAUUAGCUGGUUGGUGAGGUAACGGCCCACCAAGGCGACGAUGCAUAGCCGGCCUGAGAGGGCGGACGGCCACAUUGGGACUGAGACACGGCCCAAACUCCUACGGGAGGCAGCAGUAGGGAAUUUUCGUCAAUGGGGGGAACCCUGAACGAGCAAUGCCGCGUGAGUGAGGAAGGUCUUCGGAUCGUAAAGCUCUGUUGUAAGAGAAAAACGGCACUCAUAGG